rnacentral:rRNA from 1 species
CCUACGGGUGGCAGCAGUGAGGAAUAUUGGUCAAUGGGCGCGAGCCUGAACCAGCCAAGUCGCGUGAGGGAAGACGGCCCUACGGGUUGUAAACCUCUUUUGCCGGGGAGCAACGUGCGCCACGUGUGGCGCCCCUGAUAGUACCCGGAGAAAAAGCAUCGGCUAACUCCGUGCCAGCAGCCGCGGUAAUACGAAGGAUGCGAGCGUUAUCCGGAUUUAUUGGGUUUAAAGGGUGCGUAGGCGGAGCGUUAAGUCAGUGGUCAAAUGGAGGGGCUCAACCCUUGCCCGCCAUUGAAACUGGCGAUCUGGAGUGGAGGAGAGGUAUGCGGAAUGCGAGGUGUAGCGGUGAAAUGCGUAGAUAUCACGCAGAACCCCGAUUGCGAAGGCAGCAUGCCGGCUUGCAACUGACGCUGAGGCACGAAAGCGUGGGGAGCGAACAGGAUUAGAUACCCUUGUAGUC